AGGUGACUUGGAGCUCUAUGUCAUCGACUUUGAGCUCUACGUCAUCUUGGAGGUGACUUGGAGCUCUACAUCAUCGACUUUGAGCUCUACGUCAUCUUGGAGGUGACUUGGAGCUCUACGUCAUCGACUUUGAGCCCUACGUUAUCUUGGAGGUGACUUUGAGCUCUACAUCAUCCCAUAGGUGACUUUGAGCCCUACAUCAUCGACUUUGAGCUCUACAUCAUCCCGUAGGUGACUUUGAGCUCUACAUCAUCAACUUUGAGCCCUACGUCAUCUUGGAGGUGACUUUGAGCCCUCCGUCAUCUUGCUCCAACAGCGUCGCUCGAUAUUCUCCGAAAGGUCCUCCUUGGCCUUAAGAAGCUUAACGAGCUUGCAGUCGUUUGCGCGCGCGCUCCUGCCAGGUUUCCGCUGCCGAUAGGACACCAUCCCCAUUACCGCGGCGUAACUCCUCCGGGACGGUUUCUUUUCCUUAUUUCUAAUUAAUUCUUUCCAAAGAUUAUCAGGCUAUUUUCGGAAUCCUCGAGUUCGUCUUACCAGAUUUAUUCCGGGUUUAAGGAUAAUCCUUACGGAUUCCGCUCUUCCCGAUCUACCCGCGAC